rnacentral:rRNA from 1 species
CCUACGGGAGGCUGCAGUGAGGAAUAUUGGUCAAUGGGCGGGAGCCUGAACCAGCCAAGUAGCGUGAAGGAUGACGGCCCUACGGGUCGUAAACUGCUUUUGCAAAGGAAUAAAGCCAUGCACGUGUGCCGUUCUGCAUGUACUGUAUGAAUAAGGGCCGGCUAAAUCCGUGCCAGCAGCCGCGGUAAUACGGAGGACCCGAGCGUUAUCCGGAUUUAUUGGGCUUAAAGGGAGCGUAGAUGGGUUGUUAAGUCAGUUGUGAAAGUCUGCGGCUCAACCGUAGAACUGCAGUUGAUACUGGAAGCCUUGAGUACAGAAGAGGCAGGCGGAAUUCGUGGUGUAGCGGUGAAAUGCUUAGAUAUCACGAGGAACUCCGAUUGCGAAGGCAGCCUGCUAAACUGCGACUGACGUUGAGGCUCGAAAGUGUGGGUAUCAAACAGGAUUAGAUACCCUUGUAGUC